rnacentral:rRNA from 1 species
CGUAACAGGUUUCCCGUAGGUGAACCUGCGGAAGGAUCAUUG